rnacentral:rRNA from 1 species
AACGAACGCUGGCGGCGUGGAUAAGACAUGCAAGUCGAACGGGACACCAUGAGUAGCAAUACAAGUGGUGUCUAGUGGCGAACGGGUGCGUAACACGUGGAUACAUUCCGGGAAGCGGGGGAUAGCCCAGGGAAACUUGGAUUAAUACCGCAUGUGGUCGAAAGACUAAAGGCAGGGACCGCAAGGCCUGCCACUUCCCGAUUGGUCCGCGGCCUAUCAGCUAGUUGGCGGGGUAAAAGCCCACCAAGGCUACGACGGGUAGCUGGUCUUAGAGGACGACCAGCCACACUGGAACUGAGACACGGUCCAGACACCUACGGGUGGCAGCAGUCGAGAAUCUUUCACAAUGGGGGCAACCCUGAUGGAGCGACGCCGCGUGGAGGAUAAGGUCUUCGGAUUGUAAACUCCUGUCAUGUGUGAACAAGGUUGUCGUGAUAAUAGCAUGGCAAAUUGAUGGUAACACAAGAGGAAGAGACGGCUAACUCUGUGCCAGCAGCCGCGGUAAU